GAAUGGCUCCCGAAAGAUUGUUGUGGCCGAGGAAGAGAUGUGUGAGAGAAGGGAGUCUAACCAGGGAGCCUGGAAUGCCGCCGGAGAACUGGUUGAAGCUCAAGUCGAGAUGAGUUAGAUUGACAAAUCUUUCAUCGAGCUCAGGUUCCGGAAGAUGGACAGGCUCAAGUUCCCGGAAAAAUGGUUGUUAAAGGCUCUCAAAGUCUCGAGGCGUGUCAAGCUGGCCACGGCCUCGAUGCCACCUUCCAAGCUGUUCACUUGAAUUCCCAGCUCCACGAGGCUUGUCAUACCUCCGAAAGAGCUUGGGAUUGGCCCGGUCAAGUUGGUGUUAUCCAGGUAAAGCUGCUCCAAGCUGCUCAAGCUCCCGAGCUCCUCCGGAAUGGUUCCGAGGUUCCCUGCACCUCCAGCCAUCCCGAGCUUCUUGAGCCGUGUCAGCCGGAUUCCGAUGCAGCGAGGAAUCGGGCCUUACGGAAUCGGGGAGAGAACCACUCAACACUCGCAUGAUGGAAUUGGAGUCGAGAGACACUCCGACGAUGGUGGACGAGUUUGCGGAGGAGGAGUCUGGACAAAGGGUGCUUUCAAACGGACUGUAGAUGGAGGAACAGCAGGGAUCCGUGCUCGUGUUCCAGACCGUGGCCGGCACUCCUAGGGCGGAGGCAAUGUCUCUGAUAGCCGAGAUCUCCGCUGUAGACGCUGCCAGAAGCGAAUCCAGGAACAUCCACUGUAAGGCGACAAACAUCAAAGCUCUUGCCAUGGGAAAGAGUGAGAAUGGAUGAGGAAGAAGGAAGAGCAGGAAGACUGUCAAACUUGACGUCGCCAAAACCUUUGUCAAGAUAAUGAAACGUCAUUGGAAGACAAAGAGGAAUAUAGAGCCAAGGAUUUGGUAACAUAAAGAAGGCUACUGCUACUGUUCAUACAGGGUGUCGAGGUAUGAUGGAUCGGCGAUGUUUCGGCUUGUAAGCUGAUUUUUCCAGGAAGAUUUCGAGCUCUGGGGCGGAAGUAUGGACAUAGAAGGCAAGAAACUCGACAUGCCUCGACGUUCACAGGGCGGACUGAAAACUCCACGACGCUCUUGGGCUGGUUUGAGGCCUCCCGAAGUUUGAUCGCUUGUCCAGAUCGC